GGGGCCGUAGUCCAGCCAGGUAGGACGACGGGCUCCAGACCCGUAGGUCGCCGGUUCAAAUCCGGUCGGCCCCACCA
rnacentral:tRNA from 1 species